AGCUCCUUUUGUCAGGGCAGCAGUUCCAAGGAAUGUGUUUCAUCACGUCCAUCUGCAGUUGCCUAUGAGUGAAUGGGAGCCAGGCCCAGGUUCUUGGUGAAGGGGAUGAUUUGCAGCACCAGGGUCACUGACAAGCUCUUUCACCCCAAAAGAUCUAUGUCCCACUUGGAAAGCAGUGGGAACCAUACACAAAACUUCAAUGAAAAGUGUCAGACAAAGUCUUGGCCUCUCUAAAGGCAAUGAGAAUUUUGCCACUUCUUCCUGUGAGCCCUUUCACUCCAGUAAGCCGUGCUGCUUUAGUGUGUGAGCAGAGCUUUUAUAUUCCCUGGAGCCUUUAUUUUCCAUGCAGUUGGGAAACAGAGGAGCAGAAGGGCUGCCAAGCUGAGAGGCAGCUGGGGCACAAAUGAGUGUGAAGAAUGGUGUCAUUGGACCAAAGACAAAUCCUUCCCACAAGGACUUGUAUCAGGAUAGUAAAGUGAAAGGUGUCAGAUGCUGGUCAGGACCUGGACCAUGAAAGGGGAAGAGGACAACAUAACUUCAGGUGAAACAAGAGCCUCAGAAAAUUCUUCUGGAGCCACCACAGAGAGUCCAGGCAGGUGCUCUCCCUAGAAACCAGGUCCCCUGGGAGAGGGGAUGGUUUACUACCUGAAAUUUGUAUUCCUUCCAGGAAAAGUCUGGGUGAAAGAACAAGUCUAUAUACUGAC